CGGAGGAAGCACCAAGUGUCGAAGACACACUUUAAAUGGUGCUGACGAACUGCCGCCGAGAGAUUGUGCCCAUGCGUUGAAAACGCAUAUUGGCGUUACCUGUAAUGCGAGGCGGCAAUACCAGAC
rnacentral:sRNA from 1 species